GGAAGGUCCGGGCGUUAUCCGGAUUUAUUGGGUUUAAAGGGAGCGUAGGCCGGAGAUUAAGCGUGUUGUGAAAUGUAGAUGCUCAACAUCUGAACUGCAGCGCGAACUGGUUUCCUUGAGUACGCACAAAGUGGGCGGAAUUCGUGGUGUAGCGGUGAAAUGCUUAGAUAUCACGAAGAACUCCGAUUGCGAAGGCAGCUCACUGGAGCGCAACUGACGCUGAGGAACGAAAGCGUGGGUAGCGAACAGGAUUAGAUACCCUGGUAGUCCACGCCGUANACGGUGGGCGCUAGGUGUGGGUUCCUUCCACGGAAUCCGUGCCGUAGCUAACGCAUUAAGCGCCCCGCCUGGGGAGU
rnacentral:rRNA from 1 species